rnacentral:rRNA from 1 species
GAUGAACGCUAGCGGCAGGCUUAAUACAUGCAAGUCGAGGGGCAUCAAGGUACACGAAAGUGUAUUGUUGGCGACCGGCGGACGGGUGAGUAAUAGGUAGGUAACCUACCUCAUACUGAGGCAUAGCUGGGAGAAAUUCCAGGUAAUUCCUCAUGAGGUUAUAUGACACAUGUGAUAUAAUCAAAGGUAUCGCAAGGUACUGGUAUGAGAUGGGCUUACUGACCAUUAGCUAGUUGGUGAGAUAAGAGCUCACCAAGGCGAAGAUGGUUAGGGGUUUGAGAGAGAGAUCCCCCACAUUGGAACUGAGAUACGGUCCAGACUCCUACGGGAGGCAGCAGUAGGGAAUAUUGGGCAAUGGGCGGAAGCCUGACCCAGCCAUGCCGCGUGAAGGAAGACGGCCUUAUGGGUUGUAAACUUCUUUACUAUGCGACUAACUAGAUUUACGAGAUAAUUCUAUAGAAUGUAGCAUAGCAAAAAGCACGGA